AUCAGACUCGUUACAAGGUUGUUCUAACAAGUCUGAUACAGUCAUGAUAUAACAAGAAUGUUACAAGGUUGACGACACAAGGUUGUAACAAUAUUGUUAUAUCAUGACUGUAUCGGACUUGUUGGAACAACCUUGCAACAAUUAGUCUGAU